rnacentral:rRNA from 1 species
CGGAAAGACCCCGUGAACCUUUACUAUAGCUUGACACUGAACAUUGAGCCUUGAUGUGUAGGAUAGGUGGGAGGCUUAGAAGUGUGGACGCCAGUCUGCAUGGAGCCGACCUUGAAAUACCACCCUUUAAUGUUUGAUGUUCUAACGUUGACCCGUAAUCCGGGUUGCGGACAGUGUCUGGUGGGUAGUUUGACUGGGGCGGUCUCCUCCUAAAGAGUAACGGAGGAGCACGAAGGUU